CCUACGGGAGGCAGCAGUGGGGAAUUUUGGACAAUGGGGGCAACCCUGAUCCAGCCAUUCCGCGUGAGUGAAGAAGGCCUUCGGGUUGUAAAGCUCUUUCAGCAGGAACGAAACGGUCGUCUCUAACAUAGAUGGCUAAUGACGGUACCUGAAGAAGAAGCACCGGCUAACUACGUGCCAGCAGCCGCGGUAAUACGUAGGGUGCGAGCGUUAAUCGGAAUUACUGGGCGUAAAGCGUGCGCAGGCGGUUUGAUAAGACAGAUGUGAAAUCCCCGGGCUUAACCUGGGAACUGCGUUUGUGACUGUCAGACUCGAGUGCGGCAGAGGGGGGUGGAAUUCCACGUGUAGCAGUGAAAUGCGUAGAGAUGUGGAGGAACACCGAUGGCGAAGGCAGCCCCCUGGGUCGACACUGACGCUCAUGCACGAAAGCGUGGGGAGCAAACAGGAUUAGAUACCCUGGUAGUCCACGCCCUAAGCGAUGCGAACUAGGUGUUGGGGAAGGAGACUUUCUUAGUACCGCAGCUAACGCGUGAAGUUCGCCGCCUGGGGAGUACGGUCGCAAGAUUAAAACUCAAAGGAAUUGACGG
rnacentral:rRNA from 1 species